rnacentral:ncRNA from 1 species
AAUAGCCGGUUUCUAGAGGGCAAGUCAGAAAAUCAUAUUUAAAAUGUGAAUUAAAAAAUCCCCUCCCCCAAUGAAAGAAAAAGAAAGAGAAAUGGAGAAAGAAAAAGAAAAACAAAUGGGGGUACAUAACUAAACAGAUGCCAACUGGUGAUGCGGCGGCGUUAUUCCCAUGAUAGUCAAGCAGCUUCUGGGAAACCAAAGUCUUUGGAUUCCGGGGGGAGUAUGGUUGCAAAGCUGAAACUUAACGGAAUUGACUGAAGGGCACCACCAGGAGUGGAGCCUGCAGCUUAAUUUCACUCAACACAGGAAUUCUCACCGGCCCGGACACAGACAGGAUUGACAGAUUGAUAGCUCUUUCUCGAUUCCGUGGGUGGUGGUGCAUGGCCAUUCUUAGAUGGUGGAGUGAUAUGUCUCGUUAAUUCCAAUAACGAACUAGACUCUGGCAUGCUAACUAGUUAUGCGACCCCCUGAGCGGUCGGCGUCCCCCAACUUCUUAGAGGGACAAGUGGCGUUCAGCCACCCGAGAUUGAGCAAUAACAGAUCUGUGAUGCCCUUAGAUGUUCAGGGCUGCAUUAAUGCCACACUGACUGGCUCAGCGUGUGCCUACCCUACAAAGGCAGGCGUGGGUAACCCAUUGAACCUCAUUCGUGAUGGAGAUCGGGGAUUGCAAUUAUUCUCCAAGAACGAGGAAUUCCCAGUAAGUGUAGGUCAUAAGCUUGCGUUGAUUAAGUCCCUGCCCUUUGUACACACCACCCUUAGCUACUACCGAUUGGAUGUUUUUGGCCCUGUCGGAGGGCUGAGAAGAAGGUCGAACUUGACUACCUAGAGGAAGUAAAAAUCAUAACAAGGUUUCUGUAGGUGAACUGGUGGAAGGAUCAUUA